ensembl:lncRNA
AUAAAACUGCACCCUACUCAAACUCGAGAGAGUUUCUCUGGAUUUCACGUAGAAAAUGGGAAUAAUGCUUAUUGUGACAUAUCUAUACAUAUUUCUCAAUUGCUAAUCGUAAUAUUAUUCUGAUUAUUUUUGGAUGUCAUACAUGUAUGUGCUAAAUUGCCUUCUUGGCGACAGUUAGACAAGAAUAUUGACACCACUCUCAUUUUUGUAUGGUGAAGAUGAAGCAGGAGCCAGCAGCUGGUUGGAGCGCUGAUGAUUUACAUCAGAUCUACAUCUACAAGGCAGGCUAAAAGGACCAGUAUCAACACCGGACAAAAACUACUGACGUAGCGAGGAGAGAGGGGGCACACAGGAAAAACUCCCCCAGUGGAAUGAGAAAUGACAGUGAGGGUCAGGCUGAGUUCAUGUGCGUACCUCAAAGGAGCCGGGCAGGGUGCAGCAGCAGGGCAGCGGUCCUCACACUGGGAAGCAGGGUUUAAAGGAGGGGAGGCGGGGGCUGGGAGAGGAGCAGGAGGGAUGCAGGGAGAUGCAGGUGGGGUUGGCGGAGCUUCAGGAGUGUGCCUCUCCGGGGGAGUCGGAGGAGGCGUGGGAAAUUCUGUG